GGGUCGAUGGCGUAGUUGGUUAUCGCAUCUGUCUAACACCUCCGCUGAUUCGCCGGUUGGUUCACAGAAGGUCCUCAGUUCGAACCUGGGUCGACUCA